rnacentral:lncRNA from 1 species
AUGGAUGGAGAUAUCUAUAAAUACAUACAUUUAUAAAUAUAUACUAUAGAUAUGUGUUUCUUAGUUUCUAGUUUUAAACUCUUUACUCCUAGCCCUCGAUAUUUCAAUCAAUAAUUCUGAGAGAAAAAGAAAUUUGGAAUACAACGUACAAAUAAUUACCCUUGGUUUCCAUGUUCCAUUCUUGAAAAUCCUUGGUGAAUCUGCCUGUUAUCCAACCACACAGUGUGUGAAAGAAUAAAACCAGUCUGGACCACUUCCUUCAUAGUAAGGCCCCAAACACAAAAACUUUCAGGGAUGGGCCCCAACCUCUGUUGUGGUGUCACCAUGAUGUCACCUCAAGUUUUUGUAACCAAGGUGAUUGCAUAUUUGUGCAUUUUGGGCUACUAGUUAGGGACCCCAGGGGCCUAUGACAAUUAAAAGAUACCUAUUACAUUAUAGAAUUAGAGAAUCUAGAAGGUAGAAAGAAUCUUAAAUUACUUCUAAUACAAAUCCCCUUCUGUUGUGCCAGUCCCUUCUACAACAUCCCCUACAAGUAUGAUAGGAAGAAUUUGCUCCAGUUGCCAUUAAGGCAUCUGAAGCAGGUAUUAGACAUUGAAGAUACCAAGAUUGUCCAAUAUACCUCAGGCCAGUGUUGGUGAACCUUUUCCUAGUUCAAGUGCCAGAGAGCAAAUUCAAACUGUCUGUGAGCCCCUGCAUUACUCAAGAGAGCUGAGGAAGUGCUCACUUUGGGCAGCUGGACAGAGGGGCAGGACAUGCAAAAAAUGUCCUCGGGCACUGGGAAGAGGGGGAACAGAGCAGCUCCCUGAGUGCACACAUGCCAUGUCUUUGCCAACGCUGACCUGGCUAUCACCAGUCAACCUGAUUUUCAAUAACUCUGAAAGAGAAAAUAUCUUGAAAAUAACCUCUGUAUCUUCAAAGUUGUGUCAUCACCAUCACAGAUUUCCUCUGCAUGUACACGGUCUGGUUCCUGUUUUCAUUUCUUUAAUGCUCUUUCCACUUCCUCAUACAGCAAAUCUGAGGAUCAAAGUAUUAAAGUCCAGAUGUGGUUGUUCCAUUUUCAUCUGUUCCAUUUUAUAUAUAUUGUCCUUUUACUUUCUUGUGUAAAUGCUCUUGAGAUUAUUUUUAUUAGCUGAGUUUAUGCCAAGCUUUCUGCAGAUCUACUUUUAAUAAUCUUUUAUCAGUUUCCUCUGUAACAUUUUGAAAAUGAGUU